rnacentral:rRNA from 1 species
UGGGGAAUAUUGCACAAUGGGCGCAAGCCUGAUGCAGCCAUGCCGCGUGUAUGAAGAAGGCCUUCGGGUUGUAAAGUACUUUCAGUCGGGAGGAAGGUGGUAAGGUUAAUAACCUUAUCAAUUGACGUUACCGACAGAAGAAGCACCGGCUAACUCCGUGCCAGCAGCCGCGGUAAUACGGAGGGUGCAAGCGUUAAUCGGAAUUACUGGGCGUAAAGCGCACGCAGGCGGUUGAUUGAGUCAGAUGUGAAAUCCCCGGGCUUAACCCGGGAAUUGCAUCUGAUAUUGGUCAGCUAGAGUCUUGUAGAGGGGGGUAGAAUUCCAUGUGUAGCGGUGAAAUGCGUAGAGAUGUGGAGGAAUACCGGUGGCGAAGGCGGCCCCCUGGACAAAGACGGACGCUCAGGUGCGAAAGCGUGGGGAGCAAACAGG